UCGUGUCUCCAGCCUCAGUGAAAGAUAAAAAUCAAAUAACGCAGCUUGUUUCAAAUUGUCCCUCUUUCAACACACACGGGCCUGAUGAAUGAUUUCUUCACUCUUACAUUUGUAGACAGACUGAAAAAUCUAGUCCCCAUUCAGGACUAAAAGGUUGCUGGUAGUGAGGGAAAUUUGGUAAAGACGAGCAAACAAGCGCCUGCCGUUUGUCUUCACCUACGCAGCACAUAAGUGGUGGGCAGCACCCCUGUGGAUGUCAGGUGGAUUUCUCAAUUUCGAUUCAGAUGCAUGAAACCAAACAGGAGGGAAGCCGAGCACUGGAAGCCAAGGUGGGAGACUCGGUGGUGUCAGCGGCUUCUCCAAGGACACCAGGGAUGGGCUCUCAGUCCAGGGCUGCUGGCUGCAGAGGGGUCAGUGCUCUCAGGCCUGCCUGGGGGAGAUGGGGACCAUGGACAGGAGUCAGCCAUGGGCUCCAAGUAGCAGAAAAAGCGUGAGUCACAAUGACUAAGUGACACUAAAGAUGAACAACGUGGAAACACCUUUUUAUUCAGAGGUUUGGUCAAAGCAUCCCAGAGGAUGAGAUGGUUGGAUGGCAUCACCAACUUGAUGCACAUGAGCUUGAGCAAGCUCCAGGAGAUGGUGAAGGACAGGGAAGCCUGGCAUGCUGCAGUCCAUGGGGUCACAAAGACUUGGACACAACUUAGAGACUGAACAACAUCAGCAUCCCAAGGUUCUGUUUUCGUUAUUCUCAGGACCACUGGUCUUCCUCAAGGUACACGUUCAGUUUUCUUUUUCUGUUUUCUUUUCUGUGCUAUCUGAUCUUAUUGUGAUCUGUUCUGUAUGGUUUUUUUUUUUCACAGUUUGAUGUAGAAUAAGUAUCAAUAAGACAAAUUGUGUGUGUGUGCGUGGGUGUGUGUAUGUAAAUUACUUUACUUUCCCCCUCCUGCCUCCUCCAGUAACUCUGUUCAGCUUGGGCCUCUUUAUUCUGUGUAUUGACAUAUGCCUGAUACUUCCUGAGUCUGGUUUCUUUUUAAGCUUCUGGUUCUUUUUUCUGUAACUUAAUUUUCCUGCACUCCCUCAUGCUUUCAGGGCCAGCAACCCUACGAUCUCCUCAGGGGGUGUACAGUUUUCUGCACCCCAUCUGCUAGAUAACACACUUGAGCGUUUUAUGUGUGAAUCUAAGUGUCCUCCCUCGUCACCCUUUAGAGUUUUACCUUUCGUAUGAUGGUGUUGCAGAGGUUUUAGGCGUCUCUGUGUCCUGGCACAAGAAUCUAUCCUCAGUAGCCACUUUAGAAGGUCUCUGAUUCCGCAUCAAGAGCCCACAGAAUCAGGAUCCAUCUGUGGUGGCCAUGAGCUAGCCAUGACACAGGUGUGGCAUGACCACAAAAGACAUCACGGUCCUGCUGGAAACGAGCAGUGAGGAAGUGAAGGGCACGGAACUCAGCUUUGUUGUUUCCAGCCAAGGAUGAAAAAUGAAGACGCACUGACAUUUUCUCACCUAAAUACAUGUAUAUUUUUUUCCUUUAAGAGAAAAAAUUUCUGUAAGGGAAGCAAAGAGGAUGUUCUCUACAAUGGUUGCUUUGUGGGUUUUUCUGUAAUGUGAGGCUUCAGCUUCCCACUAAGUUAAGAAAUUGUUAUUCUUUCCUAUUUUCCAUAUGCUUGUUUGAAAUUAACAUCAUUAUUCUGUUCAUUAACUCUUCAAGCUUCUAAAAUUGCCAGACUGACUCUUGGAAAGUGUGGUUCAAAUAUCACACCUUGAUAUUUCACCAGGAGCCAUACAUCUUGAGCCUUCCCUCCCAUAAUAAAAUUAAAUGAGUAUAAUUUAUUGAGGAUUCCUUGACAUAAUUACGGGUUUUUGAAAGAUAGGAAAAUUCUGCCUGGAAAGUAGCAAUUCAAAAGAAGAAGAAGAAAAAAAAAAAAAGAAUCCAGGGCACUCACCUGACUGCAAAGACCAUAAUUAAAUCUGCUAGAGAAGUCUGCAAAGAGCACAAAUGCUAUUUUUGUACUGAGUUCAAACAGACUCUGGUUCUCCCCAGUUUAAACAUCUCUGGUGAAAUAGCUGAGUUCAAAGUCCAGGUCCUGGCAGACGCAGAGAUGUCUUUUGCAGGCCUCCACCGUGGAGAGCAGGCAACCGCCGUCAGGAGAUGGCGUUUCUGUGGCUCAGAGAGGUGCUUUCUUCCGUGGAGGCACCUUCCCAGCAACUGUUCCCCCAGUGGCUGCGUUGCCUUUGUGCGCUCAUGGGUCUGUCUCUUCACCCCUCUGUUCCGUGGGGUCCCUUCACCCCUCCGCUCCAUGGUCUGGGGCUUUUCUGCUCUCCUGGUGACUGAACCCAAGCAGACUGACAACAGUCAUCAUGACUCCCAGCUCUACAACCUGUAAUGAUCAGAACUGCCCUGCCCUGAACUGAGGGCUUCCCUGGCUGCUCAGAGGGUGAAGAAUCUGCCUACAGUGGGGGAGACGCUCUUCCAUCCCUGGGUUGGGAAGACCCCCUGGAGGAGGGCAUGGCAACCCACUCCAGUAUUCUUCCCUGGAAAAUCCCACGGACAGAGGAUCCUGGCUGGUAUAGUCCACGGGGUCUCCAAAAGUUGGACACAACUGAGCAACUAAGCGCAGCUCAGCCCUGAAGGUUGGUGGUCCUGAGACCCCGGGGGCGGCCACGCACACUCCCUGCCCACCCCCACCCCUCUGUGAAGCGCGGCCCCUGUGCCUUGCUCUCCAGCAACUUGUCACCACCGUGGUUCUUCUCUGUUCCAAGGGACUCACUCCUUGUUUUUUCUGCCAGCUCUAAUGAGACUACUGAUUAUUAGUGUUGUUAUUAACAUCACUCUGGUGCAAUGGAACAGUCAUAUGAGAGUGACCAAGAGGAGUCCACACUAGGUCCACACAGUCACUGCAGGGUGGUCGUGAGCGCAUGUGUAGCUGAGCAAAGCAGAGACUUGAAGUUCAGCAAGAGCAGCAUCUCUUGGAAUUGGUGAGCAGACUGUAGAGACUUCAGGGACGUGGGAAGGGGCGCUGGAUGGGGGGCCCACACGGCCACAUCCCUGCCUUGCUGCACUGGUGCUCACCUGAGCUCAGUCCAGCCCCUGAGCCCCUCUCGGUUCCUGCCGGGCCCCAGAGAAGGCACCCGGGGUGAGGAGCGCCCCCGACAGCAAGGCCACUGCUCCAGAAGCCCCCACAUGGGGGACACAUGGAAAAAGCCCUGCUGGGAUGGAGCCCCUGGCCCCCAGCCACAAUCUUCCUGUGGAGAGAGCAGGGGCCAGCUCAUGCCCUCCAGUCUCCAAAAGCUGCAGAUUUGAGAGCAACGUGAUUUAGCAUUUUUUUAGGUGGCUCAGAUGGUAAAGAAUCUACCUGCAAUGCAAGAGACGCGAGUUCAACCCUUGGGUUGGGAAGAUCUCCCGGAGAAGGGAAUGGCAAACCACUCCAGUACUCUUGCCUGGGAAAUCCCACAGAGAGAGAACCUGGCAGGCUAGAGUCCUUGGGGUCACAAGUGCGACUAACACUUUCACUUACUUUAAGCCACUAAACUUUGAGGCAGUUUAUCACAUGGCAAAGGCGAUGGAGGAGUAAGGCAGGCAGGUACUCCUGACAGCCCUGCCCCACGCCCUGACCAGCUCAUCCUGCACGGUGGGCUCUGGGGCUUCUGCUCCAGUCCGUGAGGAGGGUCAGCUGAAGUAGAGAUUCUGGAGUAACAGCAAGCUAAACCAGAGAAUGAAAUGGGUGCUUUGAAGCCAGUGAAGGGCAGUACCCUGGGUGGAGGAGACACAGAUGCUCUAGGAUAAAAUAGGGCCGUGAAGAGCCCACCUGCCUGGGCUGGCCACUCGUGUGUGCCUGCUCGUGUGUGCCUGCUGGUGUGUGCCACUUUUGUGUGUCCGCUCGUGUGUGCUCACUCUUGGGUGCUCACUCUGUGUGCUAUAAGUGACAAUGAUGAUGAACGAGCCUGUCUGUACAUUGGUGUCAAUAAACAAUUGCAUCUGUUUUGAAGAA